UACCUACUCCCUCCGUUCGGAUUUACUUGUCUCGGAAAUGGAUGUAUCUAGAACUAAAAUACGUCUAGAUACAUCCAUUUUUGCGACAAGUAAUUCCGAACGGAGGGAGUACAUA
rnacentral:pre_miRNA from 1 species